rnacentral:rRNA from 1 species
AAUGAACGUUGGCGGCGUGGAUUAGGCAUGCAAGUCGAACGACCCUUUUGGGGGCAACUCCAAAAGGGAGUGGCGAAAGGGGCAGUAAGGCAUGGGUAACCUACCCUGGGGACCGGGACACACAUGUAAUAGUGGUAAAUACCGGGCGAUCUGACGAAGUCGCAUGGUUUUGUCAGGAAAUGAAUUUCGCCUCGGGAGGGGCUCAUGUAGUAUUAGCUUGUUGGUGAGGUAACGGCUCACCAAGGCAAAGAUGCUUAGCGGGUGUGAGAGCACGACCCGCGCCACUGGCACUGAGACACUGGCCAGACUCCUACGGGAGGCUGCAGUCGAGGAUCUUCGGCAAUGGG